rnacentral:rRNA from 1 species
CACGUAGGGUGCGAGCGUUGUCCGGAAUUAUUGGGCGUAAAGCGCGCGUAGGCGGUUACUCAAGUCGGAUGUGAAAGCCCUCGGCUUAACUGAGGAAGUGCACCCGAAACUGAGUAGCUAGAGUACUAAAGAGGGUCGCGGAAUUCCCGGUGUAGAGGUGAAAUUCGUAGAUAUCGGGAGGAACACCGGUGGCGAAGGCGGCGACCUGGGUAGAUACUGACGCUGAGGCGCGAAAGCGUGGGGAGCAAACAGG